rnacentral:rRNA from 1 species
UCGGGAAUUUUGGGCAAUGGGGGAAACCCUGACCCAGCAACGCCGCGUGAAGGAUGAAGUAUUUCGGUAUGUAAACUUCGAAAGAAUAGGAAGAAUAAAUGACGGUACUAUUUAUAAGGUCCGGCUAACUACGUGCCAGCAGCCGCGGUAAUACGUAGGGACCAAGCGUUGUUCGGAUUUACUGGGCGUAAAGGGCGCGUAGGCGGCAUGACAAGUCACUUGUGAAAUCUCUGGGCUUAACCCAGAACGGCCAAGUGAUACUGUCGCGCUAGAGUGCAGAAGGGGCAAUCGGAAUUCUUGGUGUAGCGGUGAAAUGCGUAGAUAUCAAGAGGAACACCUGAGGUGAAGACGGGUUGCUGGGCUGACACUGACGCUGAGGCGCGAAAGCCAGGGGAGCAAACGGGAUUAGAUACCCACGUAGUCCCUGAGCGGGCUGG